rnacentral:rRNA from 1 species
AUACGUAGGUGGCGAGCGUUGUCCGGAAUUACUGGGCGUAAAGGGCGUGUAGGCGGGGGUACAAGUCAGGUGUGAAAUACCGCGGCUCAACUGCGGGGGUGCAUCUGAAACUGUACUUCUUGAGUGUCGGAGAGGAAAGCGGAAUUCCCAGUGUAGCGGUGAAAUGCGUAGAGAUUGGGAGGAACACCAGUGGCGAAGGCGGCUUUCUGGACGACAACUGACGCUGAGGCGCGAAAGCGUGGGGAGCGAACAGGAUUAGAUACCCUGGUAGUCCACGCUGUAAACGAUGGAUACUAGGUGUAGGAGGUAUCGACCCCUUCUGUGCCGGAGUUAACACAAUAAGUAUCCCGCCUGGGGAGUACGGCCGCAAGGCUGAA